AUGAGAGGGGAAUUCAUCAAUUUGCAAAAAAUGGUUAGAGAUGAAGCUCCAUAUGCUUUUUAUGUUCAUUGCUUUGCUCACCAGUUACAGUUGGUGGUUGUCACAGUUGCUCAAUGUAGUCCUGCUAUUGCUGAUUUCUUCAACUAUAUUCCCUUGAUAGUGACUCAAGUGUGUUCAUCUUGCAAAAGGAAAGAUGCAUUACUUGCCAAACACCAAGAUGAAUUGUUAGAUUUGAUGGAGAAUGGAAAGAUUUCAGCUGGAACGGGGUUGCAUCAAGAAUCUAGCAUAACAAGACCAAGAGAUACUCCUUGGGGUUCACAUCUCAGAACCUUGCUUCGUAUAUUCAGAAUGUGGAAUACUAUGGUGGAUGUGCUAGGAAUUGUUGUGGUUGAUGCUCGGGAACACACAUGUCAUGGUGGAAACUUUUGUGAAACACAUGAUAUUGAUGUGCCAAACAUGGAUGAUCUUGUUGGAACUAUGGGUCAAUCGGUUCACACUAAGAAUAUGGUGACUCGACUGCACUAUUACAAGGUUAGCAUAUUCAAUGUUGUCAUUGAUGCAACUAUCACUGAGAUGAAUCACUGA
rnacentral:rRNA from 1 species